rnacentral:lncRNA from 1 species
CUUGGUCAUUCCUAAUUUAAUUGAGUUCCUUUUUUCUUUGAAAUGGCAAUAAGGUAGUGCUGGAAUUUUCAGUUCAAAUGACCAAAAAAAGAAAAUGUAUAGCCGUCUUCUAAUCUUAGAGGAAUUCUAGGAAUUUCAUCAUAGUUCUAGUGGCCAAUCCUACAUUUCCCUUCUUGACAUUGUAAAAAAAAAACAUUGUUAGCAUUUACUUUAUCAUUUGUACACCCUUUUUGAUGAUUGAAUAUUGGAAAAGAGGCCAUCUAGUGCAGAAACAUGUAUCCCAAGUUGAAGAAUGUUGCAUAAGAAGAUGAUAAGCACACAAAUAUUUGCGACAUUCUAUGUUUCUAUUACAGAUGUUUGUUGCCACAUAAAGAUGUUCUCACCCUAAUGGAAGUCCAAGUAUUUUUUUUUCUCUGCUAGCAAUAUCCAUAAAUUUUGAGGCUUAUAUCUUACUUGGUGCAGCAGAACUGGAAAGUAUAAGCAAUUUCUUAGCAUGGUAAUCCUUAGCAUUACAACUUACUUGCUGACAUACUCCUAGUGCCAGAGCUAGUAGACAAUACUUCAAUAAUAGCUCAUGAUCACAUUUAUACCCAAGUUGUAGGCUCAAAUAUGUAUUUUAGAAGAUUAGAAUCAACAAAUAAAAUUAAGACCUUGUAGAAACAAAUCACAGAAGAAACUACUAAUUUCCUUGAAUCGGAUCAAACUGUAGGUUUUUCAAUGGAUCAAUUCCAUGAGGGAAGUUAAAAUAAUUUCUCAAAGUCGCUAAUUCUUAUCACUUCACGUAUUUGGUCAACUAUCUUUAUGUCUCAACUAUCUUCAAAGUAACUCGACCCAGAAUGAAAUGACAAACCAUUCCUAAUAUAAAGAGUUUUGAGAUUUAACUGGAGUAUUUAUCUCAAACAACCAAUGCCUAACUCACUUGCUACUUGUAAAAAUGUGCUUGCAUUUUAAUUUCCCAUUAUGAUGAUAUCAUAACUUUUAACAAUAAUUUUUACAGCCUUGGGAAAUUUGGAUUCUCAAGAUACAUAUAUCUGGGGCACAAAGCAUAUAACCAAUAUUUUACCAACUACAACCUUUGAAAAUACAAGUUCCAAGAUAACCAUAGUCCUAUCCCUCCAAAUCUUCAUUACAAACAUACACAAGAUCAUUAGUUUAUCAUUCCAAACUAAAUUCAAAUAAAACAUUAGAAAUCAGAAUCUCGAAAAUAAACCAUAAUCCAACAGAACAAAUUUUAUCAUUAGGGAAAAGUAAAAAAAAUUUUUACCUUAGAUUCAUUUUUGGACUUGUGGGCAGUAGCUUCAGUAUUUUUUGCCAUAGGAAAAGCUGCUCCUUUAGAUAUGGAGAAAAAGGAAACAAAUUAGAAAAACCCAAAAAAUAAAACCUAUUUUGAAAAACACCAAACCUGAGAAACCAUCAGACUACAUUUCUAUGAAAAAGCACAAGAAUAAUAAAGCUUCCAUCUUUGAUAGUAAUUUCAUCCCCCACUUUACACAAACUCUUCCUCUUCAACAAUCAACCCCUCUUAUAAACACACAUUCAAUACAUCAAAGUAUUAAACAAAAGCACAAAAUUUACUUAAUUUGUACUAAUAAGUUCAUUAUCAUAGAAUUCUCUCAACUUUGAACUACUCUUUUCUUUACCCUUUGUGGCAUCCAAUUUCACAAAAACACACAGCAUGGAAACUGAAAGCAAUGAGAUCCCAUGAUAAUAUUGAUAAUAAAUUAGCGGAAAGAUACAAAAAUAAAGGGCGGUGAGCUUACAAGUGAAGAAUUGUGUAUCCAUAGGCGUAAGUGCAGAUAAAUGUACAUGUUAAGUAUUUUGGGUUCAAUAAAAGCACUUUCUGAAGCUAGACAUGAGAAACAAUAGAACUAUCACGUAUUCAGAUAACAACCAUAUACAUCAUAGAACAAAUCCCAUUAUGAUGAUAUCACAACUAUAUCCAGAACAAGCAGAAGUUUUUAAAUGGUACUUUCUCGUACAACAAAGUAUGGAACCUGUAAACCCGAAUAGCAAAGAAGGACAGAGCAACUGAUUUCGCUUUUUCAAAUGUCAAACUAUCAAUCCUUAAUUGCCACCAAUUUGUAAAAAAUUGCGAUAUCUUUGAACUACUUGAAACUCUUAAAAUUAUCUCCUGCAUUUAAAGCAAUGUUAAACUUUACUGUUAGAAAAUCUAAAGAAAUCUCUGUUUUCUCGAUUAAUAAAUAGAAUUGUCUAAAAAUGAACUAUAUCCACAAUGAAAAACAAAAAUUCAUGGAAUAUGAAAAAGAAACCUAUCUACAGUAAUCUAGAGUAACGUAUCUGCACAAGUGAAACACAAACUGACUUAUAAUAAAUUUUCCAGGUAAUGAAGCAUUCGGAGCAGCUAAUUACAAUCUUGAGUGUCAAAACGCACAAGUCUCCUAACGGGGAAUCUGAAAUAAAAUUGUGGACUUCACUCUAAUAAAGAUGAGUCGGGCAUAUCAUCUUCUUGGGUGCAUAGGCCGCUUCAAUGAUUAUUAUUAUUAUUAUUAUUAUUAUUAUUAUUAUUAUUAUUAUUAUUAUUAUUAUUAUUAUUAUUAUUAUUAUUAUUAUUAUUAUUAUUAUUCAUAAUCACACUAUAAAAAAGGAAAAAACAUAGAGAUUGAAACUCAAGCUGGUAAAGCAAUCAUACCAGGUGUAUAUUAACGGUAACCACCGAUCAGCCCGUCCUCCAUCUCUCCGUGUUUGUCUCCUAUUUCAGAAUUGCAUCUUUAGAUAGGUUAAUCUGCAGGAAAAAAAUAACGUAAAUUAAGAGACCCAAUCUUCAAACGAAUAUUGAUACCACAAAAUUUUGAUAAAAAGAUAAAUUUCAUCAAACAAAUAAAGUAAAUGUGCAAAUCAAGAAC